UACGUAGGUGGCAAGCGUUGUCCGGAUUUACUGGGCGUAAAGGGCGUGCAGGCGGUCUGUUAAGUCUAGGGUGAAAGCUCCCGGCUCAACUGGGAGAGGUCCUUGGAUACUGGCGGACUUGAGGGAGGCAGAGGAAAGUGGAAUUCCCGGUGUAGUGGUGAUAUGCGUAGAUAUCGGGAGGAACACCAGUGGCGAAGGCGGUUCUCUGGGCCUUACCUGACGCUGAGGAGCGAAAGCGUGGGGAGCGAACAGG
rnacentral:rRNA from 1 species